AACGUUCUGACCUACGUGAGUCGCUUCAGAGAACGACUGCACGAGGCUUGCAGUAUCGCUAGGGAAAGUCUCUCUGUUGCACAACAGGGUAUCAAGCGACUUAUGCGUUGGUCUUUGGUUAUCACGAAUUACAACCUGGUGAUCCACCACAAAAAGGGCACCGAGAAUGUAUUUGCAGAUGCUCUGUCUCGUGUGUAACUAUUGUGGGACAGUAGUUACUGGGGGCAAUUUUGAUUGAUUUUGCUUUGUAUACUAUUAAAGUUGGGUUUAUGGGAUGGUUUGAGGUAUCGUCAGCCAUGGGCUGACUCUUUAUGGGGGGGAGUGUUACGUACAGUGUUCUGUAUGUCUUAUAUGUUAUACAUGGUAUAGGCCUACAUGUAUUGUGUUCUGUUUUGUGUAGUAUGUUUGUGUUGUUGUUCUGUCUCCUCCUCCUGUUUUCAUUCUCCAAGUUCUCAGAUGUGCGCACCUGGUCCCGAUCACCAAAUCACCACACCUGUUCCAGAUCUCCCAUCAACCAUUCCCCUUUAAAUAGUCCUGUGUUUGUUUGUCAGGGGGAAGAGCUUUGGUUUGAGCUGUGGCAGAGCUUUGGUUGAGCUCUUGUUUGCUAGUGUUUGCUAGUGCUUGGUUUCUUUGUUGGUUUAUUGUAUUGUCUUUAGUGGUUACACGUUUGUUUAAACCUUACUACUUUAGUUGUUAGCAGCCUACUUUAGUUUUGUCUUUGUCUUUGUUAAUUCUUUUGUUGUGCACACAGGGUCAAUAAGGACAGGUAAGAUACCCUGGGGUUUACAUAUUUCAUACACGUAGGUUUACCCGUUGUUAAUACCCUAGGUUAGAGUGAGCACCACCCACUGUACUUUUUUCGGUGCAAAGCACCUGUCAAUGGGGGGUUGGGUUUUGUUAUGUUCUUUUCUUUGGUGCCACUGACAGUCCUUGUUGAUCCCUGUGUUGCCUUGUUUUGUACAUAAACACUUUAUAUUGAAUACACCUUUUGUCUUGGAUUUUGUGUGACUGCACCCUCACUUGCCCAGACCUGUUGCCCU
ensembl:lncRNA